GUAGGAAUCACUGCUGUACUGGGGGUCAAAGAAGAGGUCAAACCUGAUCUUUGCUGUGAAGGAUGGCUGACUCUCCUCUCCAACAUACAGGUUACAGGUGGUGUCAGGACUCACAGAUCCAGAAAU